AAAUGAAUAGACGGGGGCCCGCACAAGCAGCGGAGCAUGUGGUUUAAUUCGAAGCAACGCGAAGAACCUUACCAGGUCUUGACAUCCAUCUAAAGCCAUAGAGAUAUGGUGUCUCUUCGGAGGAGAUGAGACAGGUGGUGCAUGGUUGUCGUCAGCUCGUGUCGUGAGAUGUUGGGUUAAGUCCCGCAACGAGCGCAACCCUUACGGAUAGUUACCAGUGCGUAAAGGCAGGGACUCUAUCGGGACUGCCGUGGAGAACACGGAGGAAGGCGGGGACGACGUCAAAUCAUCAUGCCCCUUAUGACCUGGGCUACACACGUGCUACAAUGGCUGUGACAAAGAGCAGCGAAGCCGCAAGGUGGAGCCAAUCUCAAAAAAGCAGUCCCAGUUCGGAUUGUGGGCUGCAACCCGCCCACAUGAAGUUGGAGUUGCUAGUAAUCGCGAAUCAGCAUGUCGCGGUGAAUGCGUUCCCGGGCCUUGUACACACCGCCCGU
rnacentral:rRNA from 1 species